AUGAACGCUGGCGGCGUGCCUAAUACGUGCAAGUCGAGCGCACAGACGAGGAGCUUGCUCCUCUGACGUUAGCGGCGGACGGGUGAGUAACACGUGGAUAACCUACCUAUAAGACUGGGAUAACUUCGGGAAACCGGAGCUAAUACCGGAUAAUAUAUUGAACCGCAUGGUUCAAUAGUGAAAGACGGUUUUGCUGUCACUUAUAGAUGGAUCCGCGCCGCAUUAGCUAGUUGGUAAGGUAACGGCUUACCAAGGCGACGAUGCGUAGCCGACCUGAGAGGGUGAUCGGCCACACUGGAACUGAGACACGGUCCAGACUCCUACGGGAGGCAGCAGUAGGGAAUCUUCCGCAAUGGGCGAAAGCCUGACGGAGCAACGCCGCGUGAGUGAUGAAGGUCUUCGGAUCGUAAAACUCUGUUAUUAGGGAAGAACAAAUGUGUAAGUAACUAUGCACGUCUUGACGGUACCUAAUCAGAAAGCCACGGCUAACUACGUG
rnacentral:rRNA from 1 species